rnacentral:rRNA from 1 species
AUUGAACGCUGGCGGCAGGCCUAACACAUGCAAGUCGAACGGUAACAGGAAGCAGCUUGCUGCUUCGCUGACGAGUGGCGGACGGGUGAGACAUGUCUGGGAAGCUGCCUGAUGGAGGGGGAUAACUACUGGAAACGGUAGCUAAUACCGCAUAAUGUCGCAAGACCAAAGAGGGGGACCUUCGGGCCUCUUGCCAUCGGAUGUGACCAGAUGGGAUUAGCUUGUUGGUGGGGUAACGGCUCACCAAGGCGACGAUCCCUAGCUGGUCUGAGAGGAUGACCAGCCACACUGGAACUGAGACACGGUCCAGACUCCUACGGGAGGCAGCAGUGGGGAAUAUUGCACAAAGGGCGCAAGCCUGAUGCAGCCAUGCCGCGUGUAUGAAGAAGGCCUUCGGGUUGUAAAGUACUUUCAGCGGGGAGGAAGGGAGUAAAGUUAAUCCCUUUGCUCAUUGACGUUACCCGCAGAAGAAGCCCCGGCUAACUCCGUG